rfam:Metarhizium majus ARSEF 297 Scaffold_13, whole genome shotgun sequence.
GACACUUUGGCCGAGUGGUUAAGGCGGUGCCCUGCUAAGGCAUUACAUUCGUGUGCGUAGGUUCGAAUCCUGCAGGUGUCG